rnacentral:lncRNA from 1 species
UUUCCAGUCCUCCAACUGAACAAUCUAAAUUUAUCAAUAUAGAAAAUAUAUAUAGAUAUAGGAAGAUGUGGUGUGAGUGCCAAUGAGACAACUCUCCAUCCAAAUAACAAUUUAAAAAAAAAAGUAAACCAUGAUUAUAGGUCAAUGUACGGCCUUCAACACGGAGCCUUGGCUCACACCGAACAACAAGCUAUAAAGGGCCCCAAAAUUACUAGUGUAAAACCAUUCAAACGGGAAAACCAACGGUCUAAUCUAUAUAAAAAAAACGAGAAACGAGAAAC